rnacentral:rRNA from 1 species
GAUUACUUCGGGAUGAAGUUUUUAUGACUUAGUGGCGGACGGGUGAGUAACGCGUGGGUAACCUGCCCUGUACUGGGGGACAACAGUUAGAAAUGACUGCUAAUACCGCAUAAGCCUACGGAGUCGCAUGACUCAGCAGGAAAAAUUCCGGUGGUACAGGAUGGGCCCGCGUCUGAUUAGCUAGUUGGUGAGGUAAUGGCUCACCAAGGCGACGAUCAGUAGCCGGCUUGAGAGAGUGAACGGCCACAUUGGGACUGAGACACGGCCCAAACUCCUACGGGAGGCAGCAGUGGGGAAUAUUGCACAAUGGGGGAAACCCUGAUGCAGCAACGCCGCGUGAGUGAAGAAGUAUUUCGGUAUGUAAAGCUCUAUCAGCAGGGAAGAAAAUGACGGUACCUGACUAAGAAGCACCGGCUAAAUACGUGCCAGCAGCCGCGGUAAUACGUAUGGUGCAAGCGUUAUCCGGAUUUACUGGGUGUAAAGGGAGCGCAGGCGGUCUGGCAAGUCUGAUGUGAAAAUCCGGGGCUCAACUCCGGAACUGCAUUGGAAACUGUCAGACUAGAGUGUCGGAGAGGUAAGUGGAAUUCCUAGUGUAGCGGUGAAAUGCGUAGAUAUUAGGAGGAACACCAGUGGCGAAGGCGGCUUACUGGACGAUAACUGACGCUGAGGCUCGAAAGCGUGGGG